CCUGCCGGAAUACUUCAACUAAUCCUACAUCAAAGUGGUACCAGAUUGUGCCGGAAUACUUCAACUAAUAUAAUACCACUUGUAGCAGCACACAAAGAUAAAAUUGAUAUUAUUUUAGAUGAAUAGAUUGUAUUGACCAACGAUUGGGAGAUCCGGUGCUUUCUUGUUUGCUGUGUGGAUCGACCUAAUUCUGAGUCUAUAAGGAUUGUCAGAGAGAAGCUCCAACAAAUCUGAUCAAGUUUUAGUUUCGAUAUUUGGUUCUUCAGAAAGAUCGUUUGCCGUGGUCCUUUAUGAUUUAUCCACUCGAUCGAGUCGAGGUUUUCGUCUAACCUUGGAAGAAUUGACAAGGACAUCCAUUUGAUUAAUAUUUGGGUUUUAUUAUUUUGGACUAUUAAAUUGGGUUUGUAUUUGGGCCUAACCUAAGCCACAACUAUAUCUACAAGUGGGUUAUUGGAUGUGAAAGAGGGGAGACGAUGAUUGGAAAUUUACAGGCUUUAUUCCCACUUCUUUGAAAUAUCUUUUGACUCUGCCUAUGUUUUUCAUAGACGGUCUCAAAUCUGGGUAAAGGAACUUUGUGUCAAAUUAUUAUGACAUGAAUAAUAUAGUCAACUCAUAAUUUAUUCGAAACGAUGCUUAAUUUUUGUUGUUUUUCAUUACAGGCUGAAGUAAUUGUUGACGGGUCUGUGGUAAGGAGUGGCAGGAACUUGACAGUAGUUGUAGUUGAGUUUAGACAUAAGGAAUCAGGGCGACUAGCAUUCAUAACUCGUGCUACAUUCUAUAAUAUGCCCAUUGCAAGUUUAUGAUCCAACGCUUAGUUCAAACAUCAAAGAUACAGACAUCUUGGUAUACAGUUCAGUUCAUAAAACCUUUGGAGCUGCCACGUAAAAAAACGCAGUGCAAACUACAGGCAAGAAAAUGGAGCAUUUUCCUCUUUCUUGUUAAAGCAACUUUCUACUAUUAUUUGAUGGUUCCGAUGCAUCAAGAAAGAUGAAUAGAAUAAGCAAACGUGUUAAUCUGAUGUCAAUUCACAUUUCUUCGGGUGCAUUACUGUAUAUUGUUUUCUUCAUAGUUACAUGCAGAGGAUGUUCUGUAAUGAUCAUUUUAAUAGUAAUUAUUAAGAGACUUGAUUAUUUUGUGAAAUUUUUUAUGAAGAAUGGAAUUUCUUCGUGAAAGUCGAAAGGUCAUGGAUUGCUAUUAGGCUUCCGACCCUUUUUCUUUCCUCAUAAUCUAAAGAGGCAUAAAGCGGAUUGUUUCAUUA